rnacentral:tRNA from 1 species
AUAGGGAUCGUCUGGCGGUAGGACAGCGGAGUUUUGCCCGGCAGACCCUGGUUCGAACCCAAGUCCCUCAACCA